rnacentral:rRNA from 1 species
UGGUAGGAUAGAGGCCUACCAUGGUGGUAACGGGUAACGGGGUGUUAGGGCACGACACCGGAGAGGGAGCCUGAGAAACGGCUACCACAUCCAAGGAUGGCAGCAGGCGCGCAAAUUACCCAAUCCCGACACGGGGAGGUAGUGACAAUAAAUAACAAUACGGGGUUCUUUCGGAUCUCGUAAUUGGAAUGAGUACAAUUUAAAUCUCUUAACGAGGAACAAUUGGAGGGCAAGUCUGGUGCCAGCAGCCGCGGUAAUUCCAGCUCCAAUAGCGUAUAUUAAAGUUGUUGCAGUUAAAAAGCUCGUAGUUGAAUUUCGGGGUUAGUAGGUUGGUCAUGCCUCUGGUAUGUACUGGUCUCACUGAUUCCUCCUUCCUGAUGAACCGUAAUGCCAUUAAUUUGGUGUUGCGGGGAAUUUGGACUGUUACUUUGAAAAAAUUAGAGUGUUUAAAGCAAGCUAACGCUUGAAUAUAUUAGCAUGGAAUAAUGAAAUAGGACGUUCGAUCCUAUUUUGUUGGUUUCUAGGAUUGACGUAAUGAUUAAUAGGGAUAGUUGGGGGCAUUAGUAUUCAAUUGUCAGAGGUGAAAUUCUUGGAUUUAUUGAAGACUAACUACUGCGAAAGCAUUUGCCAAGGAUGUUUUCAUUAAUCAAGAACGAAAGUUAGGGGAUCGAAGACGAUCAGAUACCGUCGUAGUCUUAACCAUAAACUAUGCCGACUAGG